GACGAACGCUGGCGGCGUGCUUAACACAUGCAAGUCGAACGGAAAGGCCCUGCUUUUGUGGGGUGCUCGAGUGGCGAACGGGUGAGUAACACGUGAGUACCUGCCCUUGACUUUGGGAUAACUUCAGGAAACUGGGGCUAAUACCGGAUAGGAGCUCCUGCUGCAUGGUGGGGGUUGGAAAGUUUCGGCGGUUGGGGAUGGACUCGCGGCUUAUCAGCUUGUUGGUGGGGUAGUGGCUUACCAAGGCUUUGACGGGUAGCCGGCCUGAGAGGGUGACCGGCCACAUUGGGACUGAGAUACGGCCCAGACUCCUACGGGAGGCAGCAGUGGGGAAUAUUGCACAAUGGGCGGAAGCCUGAUGCAGCAACGCCGCGUGCGGGAUGGCGGCCUUCGGGUUGUAAACCGCUUUCGCCUGUGACGAAGCGUGAGUGACGGUAAUGGGUAAAGAAGCACCGGCUAACUACGUG
rnacentral:rRNA from 1 species